AACGAACGCUGGCGGCAUGCCUAACACAUGCAAGUCGAACGAGACCUUCGGGUCUAGUGGCGCACGGGUGCGUAACGCGUGGGAAUCUGCCCUUAGGUACGGAAUAACAGUGAGAAAUUACUGCUAAUACCGUAUGAUGUCUUCGGACCAAAGAUUUAUCGCCUAGGGAUGAGCCCGCGUUGGAUUAGCUAGUUGGUGGGGUAAAGGCCUACCAAGGCGACGAUCCAUAGCUGGCUGAGAGGAUGAUCAGCCACACUGGGACUGAGACACGGCCCAGACUCCUACGGGAGGCAGCAGUGGGGAAUAUUGGACAAUGGGCGAAAGCCUGAUCCAGCAAUGCCGCGUGAGUGAAGAAGGCCUUCGGUUG
rnacentral:rRNA from 1 species